rnacentral:lncRNA from 1 species
UUUUGAUGGAUAGAGAGAAAGGCAAAAAGAGAGAAGAGCAAACGAGGGAAACAACAACCAGAUCAACACUGUUGUUGGGAGCAAGAGGUAAGAUCACCUCGACCACUUUCGAUUCGAAUUUGAGUUUAAAGUGCAUGUUAAUUCAUUUAAAUCGCAUGAGGAAGAUUUAGAAUGGAACUCUGGAAAACAGAAUAAGGUAUAACAUCAUAUGAAUUAACAAAUGGGCGUACAUACAUUUGUAUUUCCUUAUCUUCAAAAUAAAUGUUAAAUAUGGGUGUAUUAGUGUUUGAAGAAGAGGACUCAUAUGUGUUAGUGGUUCGAGGGUUCUGUGCGUAAAUCUCGAGAGAUGUGACUGAAAUAAGGAGGUGAGUUUCAUCAAGUAAUGGCCUAGGAAAGGAAAACAAAACAAAAAAAAAAGAAAAGGAAAAAAAAAUCUGGAAGGAUAGCUAGCGACAGAGAGUGUGAGAAGGGAUUUCGAGUAUCCACAUUCAACCAAAUGAAUUCUGGAAGUAAAUGGGAGAUAAAAACCUAACUAACCGAACAUAGAGAGGGGAAGAAUAAUAAGGGAAGGUGUUUAGGGUGAUGGAUAACAGUGAAUAUAAUAAAGAUAGGUUGAAAGAAACUCUCAGACGACUAACAUAAUUAAUUUGAAGAUUUGUUACCGAGAAUGAUAUUAGACUUGGAUUGUUAAACAUAAAACUUGAAGGGAGUUGAGUGUCGAAUCUAGAAUAGGUUGAGCAGAAAUUAGACAACAUUGAAAGAGUUAAAUGAUCCAAACUAGAGGCUAAAUGUAGGAUGGGAUUGAGCUAGAAUUGAAACAUAUUUUUCUGUGUUGAUGGUCUUUCGUUGUGGUGUGUGUGUGGCCUGUGUUGGCCGUGUGAUGUGGAACAGCUGAUCCAUACUCAGUCAGUAGAGUGGACCAAAUAUUAGAGGGUCCGGAUGGGAGUGAAUCUCCUAGAUGUGAGUGAUAAAUGAGGCUAGAGAUGUGGCCGAGAAAGAGAAGGCUCUGAAGGAUCAGGUCUUAUAUAUAAGUGCAAGUUGUGUAUAUGUGUGUGCAUUACAUUUUGGUCUGACCAAUAUAGAUAGAGAGCUGGGCUUGUGGAGCCGUAUGUGAAAUCUGAUGGGAAGGAAAUUAAAGGAAAACAAAGAGAAAAGAGGCGUAACAAUGAGAAUUAAAAAUGAAAAUAUAAUUAGGUAAAUUCAGUGGUUGUGUUGAGUGAUGUUAGUGAUAUGUAUGUACUAUGAUUAUGUUCUAAAUUACUAGAAAAAUUCCUCCAUAUAUCUAAGUUCCAGAAUGGAUGAAACAGAAUAGUGCAGGUAAAUGAGUAUAGUUCUGUAGAAUGGGUAAAGAGGUAAGUAAGUUAAAUGUGGAUCAUUUUGUUAAAUGUGCAUAAUCUAUUUGGUAAUUGAAUGUCUUGAAAGUGUUUUGAAGAAACUUGUAGGGUGAGGAUAAGAGAAAAUUAUAGGUCAGUGAUUUGAGUUGAGGAAAAUACCCAUUAAGGUGAAUGAGUUACUGCACUGUAACGUAGAUUCUGAUUGCUUGAGGUGCUGAUCUAGGCUUAUUGAGCGUUUUCUGUUCAUCCUAUUAUUUAAUGUUAUUUUUUCAUAACAAAUAAAAUAGGGGAGUGAUCUCGAUCCAGUCAACCUAGUUCCAAAAGCAUGGAGGAAAAAAAAAGGGAAAACUAAAGCUGUGUAUGAGUGAAAUUAGAUAGAGGUUCCUAUAGUGAAUAGGAAUACAAGAACAAUGCUACUAAAAAAGAAAAAAAUAUAUAGUGAGAGGCAGUAGGAUAGAUAAAGAAAAUUUAUACAUUCAGUUGGUAGGAUUUCAGAAUAAUAUGAAUGUAUGAUUAUAUUUUUUUGGAUCCUCUCGAAUUUUUUGAUAUGUAUAUUUUCUUGAUAUAGAAGAUUAUAAGUACAUGUAUGUGAGUUUUCGGGCUGGGUCCUUACAUUAAAGCUCAGUUUCUGCAAUCUUUAUAGCACACAACUUUUUGAUACUAAUUAUAAUUGAAUCUUUAUUUUCUUUAUAUAAAACAAUAACAUUAAAAUUAUAAUUUUUACAAAAUUAAUCUGAGUUUUAUAAUAAAAGUUUUAGUUAGUUUUCUAAAAGUUUUAAUAGAUAGAAAUUUUAAAAAUUAUUUAAAAAUUUAUUAAUUAUCAUUUAUAUCAUACUAUUUUUAGUAAAAAUAAAAUUUAAAGAUCACUUCAUAAUUGUGUGAAAAACAACGUUUUUGCUUUCUUUUGACGAAAUUUUUAACAAUAGCAGUGAUUAGUGAACAUGAGAAUAUUGUUGAUUUAACUUUUUUUUUAUUAAUAUAAAUAUAUCAAUUUUUUUUAAUAAAUUGAUAUAUACAUACUUAUCAUGACAUACAAAUUUCUACUGAAAGUAUAAAAAAAUUUUAUAGUUUGAUUUCUAAUCCAUAACAUUUUAUAGUGGGAUAAAUGAAUCAGUAAUCCACACGAAAACUUGUUGGUUGCUAGUCUAAUUUUUUUUUUUAAUGGUGAAAGUAAAUAAUCAGAACCUACACAUGGUAUUGUCCAAUUCAAUCAGUAGAUCAUUGUUAACAACAUCUACAUGUAUAUGCGUGUGUGUGUGUAUUAGAGAGAGUAUAAUUGGACUCCUAUCAUGUCCCUCUGUGUAGAGACCUCUAGCUUCCUUAUAAGAAAAGCUGGCUAUGGGACCAUUUAACUUGUUAUCAGGCCUCAAGCCCGACGCGUGCGGGCUCGUAGGCCGAAUUCCCUGCCAAAUGGUCUUGACCCCGAAACCCGAUUGCGCCAAGUACUUUUGGGAAGGAUUCUGUGCGGCUGCGGUGUACGCCUGGAUCGGUAAGACAAAGGUCAUUCUAUCGAAGACCAUUUUCUCAUACAUGUAUAUAUAUAAUGUAUCACAAGAAUGUUACAAAAGAGUUUUUAAACGAAGAAAAGAAGAAUAUUACAAGAAAUUGUUUAUAUUUAAGUCAUUCUUAAUUUGAGUGUUUCAUUUUGUUAACUC